CCUACGGGAGGCAGCAGUGGGGAAUAUUGCACAAUGGCCGAGAGCCUGAUGCAGCAACGCCGCGUGAGCGAUGAAGGCCUUCCGGUCGGAAAGCCCUGUCCUCCAGGAAGAUAAUGACGGUACUUGAGGAGCAAGCCGCGGCUAACUACGUGCCAGCAGCCGCGGUAAUACGUAGGGGGCUAGCGUUAUCCGGAAUUACUGGGCGUAAAGGGUGCGUAGGUGGUUUCUUAAGUCAGAGGUGAAAGGCUACGGCUCAACCGUAGUAUGCCGUUGAAACUGGGAAACUUGAGUGCAGGAGAGGAGAGUGGAAUUCGUAGUGUAGCGGUGAAAUGCGUAGAUAUUAGGAGGAACACCAGUUGCGAAGGCGGCUCUCUGGAGUGCAACUGACACUGAGGCACGAAAGCGUGGGGAGCAAACAGGAUUAGAUACCCGUGUAGUC
rnacentral:rRNA from 1 species